rnacentral:ribozyme from 1 species
ACCCGACUAGGCGGGUAUAAAAAGACUUCAAGCCUAGUGCGUUGCUCCCCCUGUGGGGGGGGCAGGUAGUU